AAGAGUAGAAAAUGUGGAAAAAGCAAAAGUAGCAAGAAAAAACAAAAGGGACAAAAGUUCACGUGGUGGGGGGUGGGGCCGUUUCUCUCGGCAUUCUCUCAGCAUUCUCGCUGAGAAGCAUUUUCCUUUGUCUUUUUGGUCGACUUUAACAUGAUUUAGAGCUUUUGAACGCGUCUUCCAAGUGCAGAUGCCGAGUAUAUCGACUGUUCGAUGAAAUGCCCAUUUGAAUAAUUUGAGGAUCCACGAGGCCACGCCACUGGUAUUUAGGAUGCGUUUGGGAUUGAGGUUGGGCAGCUGUAGCUUAAAAGCCACAGCACUAAAGUGUUUGGUAAACACUAGCUGUUGUAACUUUUAAGCUAUAUUGUUAUGAUUUUUCACUUGUAUAAUAUAAAAUUUAUUAUAUCUUUAAUAAUUUUAUCAAAAUUAUUAUUUAAAUUUUAUAUUUACUAUAUAUUAUUAACUUUUAUUUCAUAAUUACAGCUUUUUUUCACAGCAGCUGUAGCCACCUCAAUCCCAAACAUACCCUUAGACUAAUUGGAAAAGAAAAAAAGAAAAAAAUAAUAAGUACAACUGUGAUGCAUUUUCACAUUAACUUUACAAAGUCUGGUGAUAUAUUGAUGGUUAUAAAUUUAUAAUUUUACGCACAUGAAAUCAUCAAAGUAUUAUUUAAUUUAACUCUUCUUAACUGGGGACGUCAGUUUGAUUCAAGUAGUACUAUCACUCAUAUAAUUUAUUAAUGAGCUCUUUUCCUGUCAUCUAAUGCUGAUGCUUGUAUAUUCUAUUCUACCAUUCGAUUUUUUUAUGUCUAGUGCUUGCAGAUCAAUUGAUUAUAUGCUUCAUACUUGAUGGAGUGAAUAUAAUACAUAAGCUUUUCAUUCAGUUAUAUGUAGAUAUGUUAAACUUUGGUUUAUAUACUAGAUCGUCACUAAUUAUUCAUAGUACGUGAAGCCUCUAAUACAACAGUGAUAAGCCUCAAUAACUUACAACAGCGCCAAUAACUCAGAGAAUCACUUGCCACAUUAACCACAUAUUAGAAAUCCAAACUUCCACUUUAACUUUAGAUGAUGAAGUAAACAAAAAUCAAAAUUUCACCAAGACAGAAGCAAAAAAAGGUUAACUUUUUGUACCAUUUUAAUUCUAGAAAAACUAAAAUAUGUUUCCUACAUUUUCCCAACAACCAAAUAAAGCAUCAAGUAUUAAGUUAAGAUACUAUAAAUUAUGUUUGGGUUGGAUUUUUCUAAAAACUUCAGAAGUAUAGUUGACCUUAAUCUACUCAAAACUCAUUAUUGUCGAGCUGACCACGUAAGUAUAACUUGGAGCCUAUGUUGGCGACCUGAUUCACAAGUACGACUUGAGAUUUAUGUGAAUGACCUGAUUUAAGAAUACAACCUUAAAUUUAUAUGAGCGACCAAGAAAUUCACCGGUCCGACCUCGAAAUUUAUUUGCCCGACCAGAGAAUUAACUUGACAUAGAAAGCUAUUGGUUAAGAUAACGUGGCCUAAUUUCUAGGAAAGUUGUGUGCCACGAUCUAUGUAAACCAUCUCCAACUGAUGACCACGUGCAACUGCUGAAGAAAGUGGGCAGAAGUUAAAGGUGGUAACCACCCACGACCAGGGGCCUAUUUAAGCUGAAAAUGGCAACUGAGGAAGGGGUUAGCAAAAUUCAACCAAAAAACUCUAUAAGUGACCUACCUAAGAGCCUUAAGAGAGGUGACCAGAUUUGGAGUUCCUUUAUCAGAAAAUCCCUUUCUUUUGAACCCAUUCACAAUUCUUCCCUCUCAUUUUUCAUGUCUGAAUGACAUCCGCCUUCAAUUGCCUUUUCUCUAGUCGAAUGCAUUGAUCAACAUCAGACUUAACUUUUUCCAACUCAUGGCUAAGAUCGGCAAUCUUGGAGUCUUUGCUCACAUUAGAUUUCUUUUCGGCUACCAAGUCUUCUGCCAAGCGAGUAUUUUCAUCGUUACGAGCAUUGAGGUCACGCUUUAGCCGAUCUCGCUCGCUUGCUGUUUUAUCGUUCGUGAGGUUGGCUUUCAUCAAAGCGCGCUCGAGUUCUUCUAUUUUCGCAUGGCCUUUCAAUGACUUUGCAAACGUCUCGAUAUGCGCGGCCAUGAUCAAGGAUUGCUGGAAAAGAAAGCAUGACAAUUAUGAUGGAAAGUAUAAACAUCACAGAAAUAAAAGUUGUGAAUUAAUACCCACCUCAACUUGGUUUCGAGCAAGCGCUUCAAGAGCAUGAGUAGCUGACAAGUGGGAUAAAUUCUCAAGGGUAUCCUGGCUCACAAAUCGAGCAGCUAAAUUCACCAUGGGUAGUAAGUCCUCCGCUCUUCCUCGCUUUGACUCUAUGAUGUCACUGCUUUCAAGCAAGUUUCCUUUCGGACAUAUCGGGGAAGGGGUAGGUGGCAAAAUGCGCAGGGGACGAGAAUCGCUAGCUCGGUCACUUUUGCUCUGAGGUAGCAUGUUGCGAGCUGAAACCGCGGGCUGUUUCUCUUUUUUCUCAUCAACUUUGUUUUUCUGUGAUGCCCGCCGUGGUUUCUUACUACGUGGUUCGCCUUCCUCGUCCGACAUCUCCUCGAUCAAGGCUUUUGCAAUUUCUGCAGGGGUACGCUUGGCGGUAGACAUGUUUCCUGCAACAAUAGCAACCACACUAAAAUUAGUGAACCUUUGGCGUAUGACAACGUGGGUAACCACUUAGUAAAAUUUUACCUUUUGUUCUCUUUGUUUUCUUUUUCUUGCUGUAAUGUGGUAGACUGGAAAUGAGGUAAGUGCUCAACAAUCUCUCGGGUGUCAACAACAACUUCCAAUCCUCUGCAUUUAGCAAUCCUUUCUCAACUCUAACACUCAGCUUAUCACCUAUAUCAACUUUCUUCUUCCAAGUCACUGCAGUAAAAACAUGUGUUAGAUUGUAUCCUUAUUUCGACCUCAACCUGAACAAAACUUGUAUUACCUGGUCUACCAAAAUGAGUGGGAACUUUAAACCAACCCUUGGUCAGCUCUACAUCCCUACCCCAAUUUCCACCUACCACGAAAUACUUGUUUUUCCAACCUCUACAUGAACCUGGAAAGUCAAGUACUAUUCUUCUACUCUUUGUUUUUGACAUAAAAUAGUACCAUCCUUUAUGAUUGAUCCCAUGCUCAUUACAAAAAUAUAAGUGAGUAAACUCCUUGAAACAAGGCUCGGUUUUAUUCUUCUCAGCCCAUACAACAUACAUACCACCUAAAACCCUCCAGCCAUUCGGGUCAAGUUGACCUGGACUCAAACCCACUCUCACCAACAUUCGAGCAAAGUAAGGUUGAAUGGGCAACCUGAAACCAAGUUCAAACAUUUCCAGAUAAAUCGCAGUCUCUCCGUUACUCAAUUUGCUUGCCACCUCAUCUUCGCCCAAUAACCUAAGUGUAAUAUCGUCAGGAAUCAAAUAUUCUUUCCUCAACUCUUCAAUCUCUGUCUCUGUUGUAUCAAAGUUUAGUCUGUUCACGCCGUAUUCUUCAUGCUCAUCUCCCUCAUCUUCAAAUUGUGCACAACUCGAUUCCUCAUUCACCUCAUUUCCGCAACUUCUAUUCUUAGACUCAUUUUCGGCCGUAUUACAAUUUAAUUCUACAUUAUCUUCCCUGACUUUUCCAUUAUCAUCUACACCCGAUGCAGUAUCACUGAGCCCAUCCAACAACUCCUUAUUCGCAUUUUGCGAGUAGCUACAAAGUGACCCAUCUUUGCUCCUUAAUUCCAUUACUGCCUAAUAUUACAUUUCACAAAACUUCAUUCCCAGUCAAUACUAACACCCAGUAAAUCAACAGCUUUUCAUUACCAGCACCACAUCCAACACAAAACAACACAUAGCCAAUCCCAAAUGCCCAGCAAAACUCACAUUUAAUAUACACAUGAAUACAACAAGCAGAUGUGUUUGGGAUGAGAUAACUCACCGGAUCUCCUUCAACCCGAAUGAAUUCGAGUUUUGCUGAAGGUCAACAACAGUAACAUCAUUCAGCAUUCUAUUAGUUCUGCAUCAAUAGUAAACGGCAACAUGAGCUCGAUUUUGACAACACAACCCAAAAGGGCAGCCAGAACGCAUAAAUUUUUUUUUAAGGAAGCGACUAACGAGAGCGAACAAACUAGAAACGAGGGGAGCAGGACACUCACCAUGUAGCUCCAUUUUGGCUAGCUUCGUCAAAUUCACAGAGGCGGCGGCUGGGUAACAUUUCUCUGGAUUUCAAUGUGAAAAAGUGUGUGGAAAAUGAGAGCCCCUGACCCACGAGCCAAGUAGCUUGAAGAAAUGACGUGUGAUUUUCACAUACACACUUCAAGGCACGUGCCCUCAUCUCUCUUUAUAGUUUUAUUAUUAUUAUUUGGUUUUGUUUUGUUUUGUUUGUUUUGUCUUUUUCCUUUUUCUUUUGUCCGUUCUUUUUGCCAAAUUUCUUCUAACUUAGUUUUAUUAUUUUUAUUUGGUUUUGUUCCGUUUUGUUUUUUUUUUUCUUUCUUUUGUUUUCUUUCUUUUUCAUUUCCUUUUUCUUUUGUCCGUUCUUUUUGUCAAAUUUCUUCUACCUUUUACAACUAUUAAUUUCGGCAUUAUUUCCACUCCACUCUUCAACAUCCACCACUUGCAGCCAUAUUGCUCUUCCCUUUUUUUGUUAUAGUUUUCAAUACCGUUCAUGUCUUCUCAGUAUUGAAAACUAGGGGACUGGUGUUUGGUUUACACAAUUUUUUCUAUUUUCACUAAUUAGUUUCCAAUACCGGUAAUGACUUUCCGAUAUCGAAAACUAGGGGACUAGUGUUUGGGUUGGAUUUUUCUAAAAACUUCAGAAGUAUAGUUGACCUUAAUCUACUCAAAACUCAUUAUUGUCGAGCUGACCACGUAAGUAUAACUUGGAGCCUAUGUUGGCGACCUGAUUCACAAGUACGACUUGAGAUUUAUGUGAAUGACCUGAUUUAAGAAUACAACCUUAAAUUUAUAUGAGCGACCAAGAAAUUCACCGGUCCGACCUCGAAAUUUAUUUGCCCGACCAGAGAAUUAGCUUGACAUAGAAAGCUAUUGGUUAAGAUAACGUGGCCUAAUUUCUAGGAAAGUUGUGUGCCACGAUCUAUGUAAACCAUCUCCAACUGAUGACCACGUGCAACUGCUGAAGAAAGUGGGCAGAAGUUAAAGGUGGUAACCACCCACGACCAGGGGCCUAUUUAAGCUGAAAAUGGCAACUGAGGAAGGGGUUAGCAAAAUUCAACCAAAAAACUCUAUAAGUGACCUACCUAAGAGCCUUAAGAGAGGUGACCAGAUUUGGAGUUCCUUUAUCAGAAAAUCCCUUUCUUUUGAACCCAUUCACAAUUCUUCCCUCUCAUUUUUGUCGCUUUAUACACAAUUUCUGACUUAAGCAUCGGAGGGUCUGCGCCGGAAACCCACCGGCGUAUCCUAACCGUGUUUUCUGGUUGACAGGUACAUAAAAUUACGGUCAUAUUGGCGUUUAAGCUUGGAUUCGUGCUGUAAUUCCCCUAAAGAAACAAAUUCAGCUGUUGAGGUCGUUUUUCGGCAUCAACAAAUUAUAUGAAUGAUAAAAAAACUAUAGCUACUUUUCACCUGCAGCAUGACAAAGGAUUCGUUGAAAAAGCUGUUUUAUGCCAUUGACUUACAAAUCCGUUUUCCAGGGCUCUGAAAUCCAGAUCCAAAUAAACAUGUACUCAUCAACAAAACCAGCACAAACCCUAAAAACCAAAAACAUCAUUUUCUCAAAAUUUCCUCACUUUUCUCACAAACAAAACAAAACCCAUCACAGUACUUACGAGAAACAAAGUCUUCCAAAACUCAAGACCAGUCUUUGGAGGCUCCGCAAUUCUGGUAGUCCAUGAAAUCAACAUCAUCAACGACCCACAAGGCAGGGACAGAGUUGAAGUCCACCAAGGAUAGGGAAGAUCAGCAACCCCGCCGUUGAUCGUUGCCGAAGAAGGAGAUCAGCCCGUGCUUGUGCCGCCGUUGAUCGUUGCCUAGGAACUCCUUCAGCCGCCGCCGUUAAUCAUUGCCGACUUGCGGCGCUGUUGAUGGCCGUGGUGAGGCGUGUUGUGAGGGAGUGGAGGUGAGGGAGUGGUGAGGCGUUUGGCGUGUGAGUGAAGCGGGAGCCAGUGGAGAUGGAGACGUGAGAUGAGGGUGAGCUGUGAUCGCGAGGUGAGGAGUGAGUGCUGAGGACUUUUUGUUUGUUUCAUUUACCGAUUUUACAGGUUCCCUUUCCUUGUAAAUUUUUUUAUUAUUUAAUACUAAAAUGAAUCUCAGCCAUUGGAUCCACUCCAAUUAAUCCAACGGUAAUAUUUCAUGCAUGUAUCCGAUACAUGCAGGUAUUGUAGCAUCAGCCUUAUUUGACACUUGACAUUCCGGUUUUCUUCGGGUGACAAAAUGAAAUCGUCCCAGUUGCUGACCGUUAACCGGUUUUCUCAUGAACGUCAGUGAUCACCUCUAGUUUAUCAAAUAAUCAUGAUUAAGCUUUAUUAGUCUUUCUUUAUUGAAACCUUUCUUUCAAAGAAGAAGAAUUAUUGGAACCUUCCGAGUUUGAAAAUGCCGGCAGCACUUGCAACUUCCAGGAACCUUCGUGAAAGUGUAGAUGCUGAGUACAUCCAACCGUUCGAUUAAAUGCCGAAUUGAUUUCGAGGAACCCACACGACCACACGACCACACAACAGGUUUUUUUUUUUUUUUCAUUUUAUUUGUAUAUCUAUUUCUUGAAAAAAUAAAAAAUCA
rnacentral:lncRNA from 1 species